GAUUGCUAUCUCUCAUGGUUGUCUUGUGUGUCUAGACCAGGUGACUCCUGCUCGUGAAGGGCUGUGGGAUGUGGUUUUAAUUUCAGGUUCAGUCCAAACCACCACACGGUUUCAUCACGAGAGCCCCGUCUGGAGACCGCCGAUAGAUAAAAUAAACGAAUAAAAAUAUAAAUUGAAUUUGUGGCGAUGAGACACACACAUACACCCUUGACUCACAUGCAAACCUGGCUUUUGAGAAAACACCUGAUUGGUUUGCUGUACUUACUGUAAGAAAAAAACGUCUCCAAACACUCAGCAGAUAGCAGCCCAUCUUCUCUCUGUUCUUCCAUCAGUCUUUUCUUUCACUUUCUGGUUGUUUCUUUUUUCAUAUCAAAGUGAACUUUCUUACAGAAUCGCACUUGGUUCCGAAUAUGUUUGAAAUGCUUCAAACCUCCAGGAUUGAACGUGUCUCUAGAAAUGUUCCUAGAGAAGUAUCUAUCUUAAAAAAAAAAGAUUUUCUUAAAAACAUGACAUUGUGGCUCCGACCCUUGUCUCCCCGGGCCACUCGUCCGGAGAGUGUUUGGGAUGUCAGAUUUGGUCCAUAUCUGUUGGAUCCUGAGAGCAACACUAAAUACACUUCGAAAAGUCUUUUUGCAAUGAGGUAUUCACUGAGCAUUCACUCACACACUCUCACCUACAGGCGAUUCUGAGUCAACAAUUCACCUAACGGCAGGAGGAAACCGGAGAACCCAGAGGAAACCCUUGUUUCAUUUCAUUGUCUCAUUAUACAUUGAUUGCAUGUAUGCUGUGGAUCUAAGAAAUCGUUUUCACAUUCAAAAUCCUUAUUUUUAGGAAAUGUUGAUCAAACCUGAACACUGAACGGAUUCAAAAGCUCAGACAAACAGCGCUGGUAGCACCAGACACGCCGGGUGACGACACACCAGCCACAGUUGCUGGUUCUCAUUCUGCCUCAAUGCUCGAUCAACCACAGACUUGUCCUGAGGGUCCAAGUCCAUGCAUGUGAAGAACGGUUUAGGGGCAGUGGAUGAAAUACAGCCACUCGCGGCAGCCGUGGAAGCACUUGUUGUUUCACCUGCUCGCUAUUUUUGUCCUUUCUCCUCUUACUUUCCCUGCUCAUUCUCCUCAACCCUUCAAUGGACAGGUGAGACAAGUGCUCAUCACCACGGGGCUGACCCGCGACCUCCGACCCCUGGCCUGUCAGCUGCCAAAGGCCCUGCUGGUGGGCUCAGCCCUGAACAGCUGCUUCUGUCUGAACCCUCAUAUAUGGGCGUCAAUGUGUCCAGUACCUUCAAAUAUUCAUCAUCUCUGUUGG
ensembl:lncRNA